ACCGCCUACAAAAAUAUUUAAAGUUAGUAAAUAUAGACAAAUUAGUAAUCGACAUUAUUAAAAAAAUAUAGAGAAAAUUGCUAAAACAGAACAAAAAAACAGCAUAGUUGUCCCUUUAGUAUAACAUCAAACUUAGUUUGUCCCUUUGGUAUAAGUUUUUUCGUAAUUCCAAAAUUAGCCUUUGAUUAAUCAAAUACAAUAUAAUUUAAACUACUUUAAAUAUUAAAAACGUAAUUAAAAAUAAAAAGAAAAAUAAUAAUUAAAAAAACCCAUUUCUCCGUAACCCUAGAUCUAAUUGUUUACUCCGUCUCUCUCGACAAACUGAGACGGCUACAGAUGUGGAUCCCUUCGAGAAGAAGUAGAUCGUUCGGAGAAGAGAAGUCGGAGAUACGAUGGCUGUAGACGACCCUCUCAAGCCUGUUGUUGCUACCAAGGAAGCGAAACCUAAUUAUGUAGAGCAUCUGAUUGGACCAGGCGACGAUGCGGAGGAAGGAGAGAUCGUAGACGGAGAUGUUGACAAAUCGGGAAAUCCACAGUUCCUGAAUCGCAUCCGUUGGAGCAUUUGUGGACUUUCCACAGUUCCUCUUUUUAUUCGUUGACUUUCUAACGAAAAGACGACUUGGGGAAGCUCCUUAGAUCCGCGUUCACGUUCUCCACGGUCGAGGAGUUCUGGAGGAGGAUGCGACGAAGAUGAACAAGUACAACCAUACUGUUAUCGAUCUACAAUUUGAGUUUUAAGGCUGACGGGCUGACCAGAUUCAAUGCUUCAGAUCCGACACUGAGCACAUGCUUGUUCGAUAUCACAUUUUCACUUUGGUAUAUUUGUUACAAACUUAGUUAUUUUCCAUGUCAAUAUCAAGUUAGGCUUGUUCCUAUACUCAAGCUUGAUUUCUUUUCCAUGUUUAAAGUUGUAUUAUAUUGUACCAGAUGCAAUUGAAUGUCUUGGUGUAGUUUAAUGACAGUUACUAUAGAAACGUUUCUUCCAAUUUUUCAAACCCACAUCUCAAGUUUAACCAAUUCAACACUGCACGCACCCAUCUAGAGAUAUUUGACCCGUAUUUUGUUUAUGAACAAAGAUAAGUUUCUCCUAAAUGAGACCCUAAACAAACCUAAAUGGGACCCUUAACAAACCCUAAACGAUACCCUAAAUCACAACUGUAGUGGAACUUUAGAAUACACAACAAAUAGACCCUAAGGCAGUGAAAUAUUAAUUCCUUAAUUAGAAUCGUCCCAAAAGUAGUCUAGAGACGCAAAGUUAUCAAAAUAAUUUGUCUAAUUCUCUUCCACGAGUUCAUAUCAUGACUGAAAUACAACACUCUUGACUAUGUUUCUCAUAAACCCGAGAUUAUGAUCCAGCUCAGUCAUAAAACCCGACCCGAUUGAGAUCCACAAUUAACCUAUUACCCAACAUAUGUAAGAACAAAAACUCAACUUUUCCCAUUUUUUGUAGGUGAACCAUCGUUAUAUAUUUACAGAUUUACUAUGAAAGCAAUUAUACUUGAUCAUCCUAAAGGUCGUGUGUUCGACCUAAGACUGUCUUAUUAUAAUUUUUAAUCCAAAACACGAGCAAAAAAAU